UGGAUUUGAAUUCUCGACCUAGUGAAUCAAAAUGUAUGUUGCAUUUUCGGAUUAUUGUCCAUGUCAAAAGCAAGGCACCUCUGACUUAGCCAAUAUUAAGGUUCUGUUUGGCAUGGCUCCAGCUCUGGGUGGAGCUGCUCUACUCCAAAACUCCAGGUAGAGUCAGCUCCACUCCAAGACUCCAGAAAUAAAAUGGGGUGUUUGGCUAGAUGGGUACUCUCAGCUCCAAAAAAAAAUCGAUUUCAGUGUUAAUUGCCAUUGUUGCUCCCAAUUCAGGCCCCACUUGUCAUCAUCUUCCCCUCCUUUCUUCCUCCUUUCUUUCCUCUCUCUGCCGUUGCCCACGAGUGAUACACCAAUGCUGGCAACUGACAACAAAAUAUUUCUGAGCAGAGAUUGCAAUUUAAUCCAAACUACAUUUAGAGAGCAUGGGCAGAGAUUCAGAUUAGCAUU
rnacentral:lncRNA from 1 species